rnacentral:rRNA from 1 species
UGGGGAAUAUUGCACAAUGGGCGAAAGCCUGACGCAGCAACGCCGCGUGAGUGAUGAAGGUCUUCGGAUUGUAAAGCUCUGUCUUUUGGGACGAUAAUGACGGUACCAAAGGAGGAAGCCACGGCUAACUACGUGCCAGCAGCCGCGGUAAUACGUAGGUGGCGAGCGUUGUCCGGAUUUACUGGGCGUAAAGGGUGCGUAGGCGGAUGUUUAAGUGAGAUGUGAAAUACCCGGGCUUAACUUGGGUGCUGCAUUUCAAACUGGAUAUCUAGAGUGCAGGAGAGGAGAAUGGAAUUCCUAGUGUAGCGGUGAAAUGCGUAGAGAUUAGGAAGAACACCAGUGGCGAAGGCGAUUCUCUGGACUGUAACUGACGUUGAGGCACGAAAGCGUGGGUAGCAAACAGGAUUAGAUACCCUGGUAGUCCACGCCGUAAACGAUGAGUACUAGGUGUAGGAGGUAUCGACCCCUUCUGUGCCGCAGUAAACACAUUAAGUACUCCGCCUGGGAAGUACGAUCGCAAGA